UUACGACCAUAUCACGUUGAAACACCCGUUCCUAUGCGAUCACCGAUGUUAAGCAACGUCGAGCCUGGUGAGUACUUAGAUGGAUGACCGCUUGGGAAUACCAGGUGCU